AUUGAACGCUGGCGGCAGGCCUAACACAUGCAAGUCGAGCGGAUGAAGGGAGCUUGCUCCUGGAUUCAGCGGCGGACGGGUGAGUAAUGCCUAGGAAUCUGCCUGGUAGUGGGGGAUAACGUCCGGAAACGGGCGCUAAUACCGCAUACGUCCUGAGGGAGAAAGUGGGGGAUCUUCGGACCUCACGCUAUCAGAUGAGCCUAGGUCGGAUUAGCUAGUUGGUGGGGUAAAGGCCUACCAAGGCGACGAUCCGUAACUGGUCUGAGAGGAUGAUCAGUCACACUGGAACUAGGACACGGUCCAGACCCCCACGGGAGGCAGCAGUGGGGAAUAUUGGAAAAUGGGCGAAAGCCUGAUCCAGCCAUGCCGCGGGUGUGAAGAAGGUCUUCGGUUUGUAAAGCCUUUUAAGUUGGGAGGAAGGGCAGUAAGUUAAUACCUUGCUUUUUUGGCGUUACCAACAGAAUAAGCACCGGCUAACUUCGU
rnacentral:rRNA from 1 species